GCCUGGGUGGCUCAGUUGGUUGAGCGUCUGACUUCGGCUCAGAUAAUAAUCUCGCUGGGUUUGUGGGUUCCAGCCCCGCGUCAGGCU
rnacentral:tRNA from 1 species